rnacentral:rRNA from 1 species
UGGGGAAUUUUGGACAAUGGGCGAAAGCCUGAUCCAGCAAUGCCGCGUGUGUGAAGAAGGCCUUCGGGUUGUAAAGCACUUUUGUCCGGAAAGAAAUCCUUGGCUCUAAUACAGUCGGGGGAUGACGGUACCGGAAGAAUAAGCACCGGCUAACUACGUGCCAGCAGCCGCGGUAAUACGUAGGGUGCAAGCGUUAAUCGGAAUUACUGGGCGUAAAGCGUGCGCAGGCGGUUUGCUAAGACCGAUGUGAAAUCCCCGGGCUCAACCUGGGAACUGCAUUGGGUGACUGGCAGGCUAGAGUAUGGCAGAGGGGGGUAGAAUUCCACGUGUAGCAGUGAAAUGCGUAGAGAUGUGGAGGAAUACCGAUGGCGAAGGCAGCCCCCUGGGCCAAUACUGACGCUCAUGCACGAAAGCGUGGGGAGCAAACAGGAUUAGAUACCCUGGUAGUCCACGCCCUAAACGAUGUCAACUAGUUGUUGGGGAUUCAUUUCCUUAGUAACGUAGCUAACGCGUGAAGUUGACCGCCUGGGGAGUACGGUCGCAAGAUUAAAACUUAAAUGAAUUGACGGGGUCAUAGCUGUUUCCU